AUGAGGACAUCUAGCUUCCUCCUCAUCAUCAUUGUUGCGUUCCUCUAUGCUAUCGGCUCACCUGCCAUAGGCUGUGGGGAACGGAUGGGCAACCAAUUGUGGAACACAGCAAUAGAGAAUGGAUGGGAACCAAUCGGAAACAUCAACGACCAACACAUCCAGGAGCUCGGCCGUUGGGCGGUGUUGGAGUUCGGCAAGCACGUGAACUGCGUGCUCAAGUUCAACAAGGUGGUAAGUGGCAGGCAGCAACUUGUUUCUGGAAUGAACUACGAACUCAUCAUCGAGGCAUCAGACAUUGGCGGGAAAGAAGACAAGUACAAGGCAGAGGUGUACGAGCAGACGUGGACUCACAAACGCCAGCUCCUCUCAUUCGCCAAGGUGAACUAG
rnacentral:rRNA from 1 species